CCUCUAAACUCUCGUGACGGCGUCUCUACCACUUGAACCAAUAUAGAUUUUGUUUCUGAACGGGAAAUCCACAUUUGAUAAACAAACUCAUACUCUAUGCCUACACUCCAUACAUCCAUAAUUAUGUAUUACACUCCAUACAGAUCUCCAGACUAUUUGAAUUUCAACUUCAGUUGAUAAUUUAUUAUUUCAGGAAACAAAUAAACCAUCCAAAAUUAGUUCCAUCAAUUCCUUUUGAGAUGAUAUCUCAAAUCCCUAAAGUUUUAAGGAUUUAGGGUUUUAAAUAAGAUGGAUACAAUAACUAUAUAUAUAGUCCGCAUUCAAAGUUGCUACUCCCGAUCCUUUAUAUUCCUGGGUGAAUCAAACACUAAUACCAAGAGAGGAAACAUACGAAAUGAGUCGAAUAGGGCGAGACUUCAGAGUCUCCCAACGUCUAUUUUCAAUGUGCACAACUCUUUAAGUGAGUUUAUUUGGGCAGGGCAUCCUGUUAUAAAGGGUUAUAUAUUGAUCUUAAGUGAUUUCUUUCCUCUUCCGUCAUUGAUUUAUUAUACAGAUUUCUAUACCAGGCUACGAAAGUUAAGGUGUCAAUGUUUAACCGAAAUAGCUGAAAUAUAAAAUUUGUUUUUUUAUCUUUAAUGGGUCAAAUGGGUCAACAACAGAAAAGUUUUCUAUAUUGUUUUAUUUGGAAAUGUGGAUUAUACUAGAAGUGAGAAAGAUUGUACUUGAAACUGUUUGUCUUUUUGAGUUGUAUUAAAGAAGCUAUAUUGAUUUGGUACCAACCCCUCCAGUUCUCGACCUUCACAUGUAGCUUUUUAAUCUGUUUUACCUAUCCGUAUGUUGUUGACUACUAAUUCAUGAUUUUGUGAUCCUUAAAAAUCUCAUUGGUGAACAAUGACUCCUGCAAUAGGAAAAUUGUAACCGCUUGCUAGGGAUUGGGCUGGUUUUGAACCUAAUACCCUGCUAUUUGAUAUUUGUUGUGAGACUCAGAUCACUGGAACAAUUGGCCUUACUUAUGUGCAUGGUAUUGUAAUGGUAUGUGGUCUCAUCUAUUCAUCAUGAUCUUCAUUUGAGGUCUUUAGAUAGGAGCCGUUGACUAAAGACUUUUAUAUGGAUGUUUGGAUGUGUGUUUUGAAAGUGAUCACUUGAGAUUGAUUAUGAUAAUCAAUUGUAAUAACGUACGCAUUGGAAUUGUCAUUCUUUGCCCUGUAGAAUACCACUACACGGACUGAUAUAGUUUAAACAGUUGCACCAAAAUUGUUUCAUGGCGAGACUACCACUCAUAUUGUUGCAUAUGUACGUAUUUAUAGCCUUUGUACAAUAAUUUUGGGAGAUUUGCGUUCAUCUGUCUGAGUGUUUUAUCUUUUCAGUAUCCCUACUGCGAAGUUCAAGACCAAUAUGAGUAAAGGCUCUGAUAUGUCUACUGUCAAUUUCCUUUGAGUUGACUCUUGACUUUUAUUGGUUACAAGUUGAUGACGAGUUGAGCAAAUGGUUCUAAACACAAGUUCUGUCUCUGUGAUAAUUUUGUAUUAAGACAAGAAUAUUUUUUUUAAAUUUAUUUUAUUAACAUUGACACUUAAAAAAUCAAAGAUACGUCUAAUGUCAUCUUUGAACAA